rnacentral:rRNA from 1 species
AAUAGAUACCCCGGGUAGUCCACGCCGUAAACGAUGAAUGUUAGCCGUCGGGCAGUAUACUGUUCGGUGGCGCAGCUAACGCAUUAAACAUUCCGCCUGGGGAGUACGGUCGCAAGAUUAAAACUCAAAGGAAUUGACGGGGGCCCGCACAAGCGGUGGAGCAUGUGGAUUAAUUCGAAGCAACGCGCAGAACCUUACCAGCUCUUGACAUUCGGGGUAUGGGCAGUGGAGACAUUGUCCUUCAGUUAGGCUGGCCCCAGAACAGGUGCUGCAUGGCUGUCGUCAGCUCGCGUCGUGAGAUGUUGGGUUAAGUCCCGCAACGAGCGCAACCCUCGCCCUUAGUUGCCAGCAUUUAGUUGGGCACUCUAAGGGGACUGCCGGUGAUAAGCCGAGAGGAAGUGGGGAUGACGUCAAGUCCUCAUGGCCCUUACGGGCUGGGCUACGACACGUGCUACAGUGGUGGUGACAGUGGGCAGCGAGACAGCGAUGUCGAGCUAAUCUCCAAAAGCCAU